GGGCCUGUAGGCUCGCCUGGUAGAGCACCGCGUUUACACCGCGGCUGUCGUCGGUUCGAACCCGGCCGGGCCCACCA
rnacentral:tRNA from 1 species